GAUGAAGAACGCAGCAAAAUGCGAUAAGUAGUGUGAAUUGCAGAAUUCAGUGAAUCAUCGAAUCUUUGAACGCACAUUGCGCCCUUUGGUAUUCCUUAGGGCAUGCCUGUUCGAGCGUCAUUUAAACCUUCAAGCUAAGCUUGGUGUUGGGUGACUGUCCGCUUCACGGCGGACUCGCCUCAAAAUUAUUGGCGGCCGGUACAUUGGCUUCGAGCGCAGCAGAAACGCGAACUCGGGCCCGUCGUAUUGGCUCCCAGAAGCUAUCUUCACAAUUUUGACCUCGGAUCAGGUAGGGAUACCCGCUAAACUUAAGCAUAUCAAUAAGCGGAGGA
rnacentral:misc_RNA from 1 species